GAUGAACGCUAGCGACAGGCCUAACACAUGCAAGUCGAGGGGCAGCACAUGAGUAGCAAUACGAUGGUGGCGACCGGCGCACGGGUGAGUAACGCGUAUGCAACCUACCCAUUACAGGGGAAUAACUCUCGGAAACGGGAACUAAUACCGCAUAAUACUAUGAAGCUGCAUGGUUUUAUAGUUAAAGAUUUAUUGGUAAUGGAUGGGCAUGCGUGACAUUAGUUAGUUGGUAGGGUAACGGCCUACCAAGACUACGAUGUCUAGGGGUUCUGAGAGGAAGGUCCCCCACACUGGUACUGAGACACGGACCAGACUCCUACGGGAGGCAGCAGUGAGGAAUAUUGGUCAAUGGGCGAGAGUCUGAACCAGCCAAGUCGCGUGCAGGAUGACUGCCUUAUGGGUUGUAAACUGCUUUUAUAAAGGAAUAACAACAGAGAUGUAUCUCUGGAUGAAUGUACUUUAGGAAUAAGGAUCGGCUAACUCCGUGCCAGCCGCCGCCGUAA
rnacentral:rRNA from 1 species